AUUAAACGCUGGCGGCAUGCCUUACACAUGCAAGUCGAACGGCAGCACGGGGGCAACCCUGGUGGCGAGUGGCGAACGGGUGAGUAAAGCAUCGGAACGUGCCCUGGAGUGGGGGAUAACGUAGCGAAAGUUACGCUAAUACCGCAUAUUCUGUGAGCAGGAAAGCAGGGGAUCGCAAGACCUUGCGCUCUGGGAGCGGCCGAUGUCGGAUUAGCUAGUUGGUGGGGUAAAGGCCUACCAAGGCGACGAUCCGUAGCGGGUCUGAGAGGAUGAUCCGCCACACUGGGACUGAGACACGGCCCAGACUCCUACGGGAGGCAGCAGUGGGAAUUUGGACAAUGGGCGAAAGCCUGAUCCAGCCAUGCCGCGUGAGUGAAGAAGGCCU
rnacentral:rRNA from 1 species